CAGUCGCCGCGGUAAUACGAAGGGUGCAAGCGUUAAUCGGAAUUACUGGGCGUAAAGCGUGCGUAGGCGGUGAGUUAAGUCUGCUGUGAAAUCCCCGGGCUCAACCUGGGAAUGGCAGUGGAUACUGGCUCGCUAGAGUGUGUCAGAGGAUGGUGGAAUUCCCGGUGUAGCGGUGAAAUGCGUAGAGAUCGGAAGGAACAUCAGUGGCGAAGGCGGCCAUCUGGGACAACACUGACGCUGAGGCACGGAAGCGUGGGGAGCAAACAGGAUUAGAUACCCCUGUAGUCCCUGUCUCUUAUAC
rnacentral:rRNA from 1 species